rnacentral:piRNA from 1 species
UGCAUUUCCUUGAUGACUAAAGAUGUUGA